UUGACCUCAAAUCGGGUGAGACUACCCGCUGAACUUAAGCAUAUCAAUAAGCGGAGGAAAAGAAACUAACAAGGAUUCCCCUAGUAACUGCGAGUGAAGCGGGAAAAGCUCAAAUUUAAAAUCUGGUGGUCUUUGGCCAUCCGAGUUGUAAUUUAGAGAAGCGUCUUCCGCGCUGGACCAUGCACAAGUCUCCUGGAAUGGAGCGUCAUAGAGGGUGAGAAUCCCGUCUUUGGCAUGGACCCCAGGGCUUCUGUGAUGCGCUCUCAAAGAGUCGAGUUGUUUGGGAAUGCAGCUCAAAAUGGGUGGUGAACUCCAUCUAAAGCUAAAUAUUGGCGAGAGACCGAUAGCGAACAAGUACCGUGAGGGAAAGAUGAAAAGCACUUUGGAAAGAGAGUGAAACAGUACGUGAAAUUGUUGAAAGGGAAACGCUUGAAGUCAGUCGCGUCGACCGAGACUCAGCCUUGCCUCGGCUUGGUGUACUUCUCGGCUGACGGGUCAGCAUCAAUUUCGAUCCUUGGAUAAUGGCAAGGGAAAGGUAGCACCUUUACAGGUGUGUUAUAGUCCUCUGUCGAAUGCAAGGGUUGGGAUUGAGGAACUCAGCAUGC
rnacentral:rRNA from 2 species